rnacentral:rRNA from 1 species
UACGUAAGUGGCGAGCGUUGUCCGGAAUUACUGGGUGUAAAGGGAGCGUAGGCGGGAGUGCAAGUUGAAUGUUAAAUCUAUCGGCUCAACCGAUAGCCGCGUUCAAAACUGCAUUUCUUGAGUGAAGUAGAGGUUGGCGGAAUUCCUAGUGUAGCGGUGAAAUGCGUAGAUAUUAGGAGGAACACCAGUGGCGAAGGCGGCCAACUGGGCUUUACUGACGCUGAGGCUCGAAAGUGUGGGGAGCAAACAGGAUUAGAUACCCCUGUAGUCCCUGA